UCCGCUGCAAAACGUUCGCAAUAAUGAUCAAUUAGAGUCGCUCGUCCCAUCGUGCAAUCGGGAACAAUCGACGAUUUAUUCGCGUAAGUUCGAUAACUUACGUGUAUUGCGGCAUGUCGGGGCCCUUCUCCUGGAGAACGCGUCUGGAAAAAUACAACGAGACCGAUUACAUUCUGAUCUACGAUCGUCGAACAAAACUACCAAAUCGAAUUACCACGAAAAUGAAAGAAUAUUGAAAAAAUAUCGAUCGAAUCGUACACGUUUAUAUGAUACUUUGUAAAACAAUGGUAGCAAAAAAGAUAAUAAAUAACUCAUGCACUUCGAUCAAAAAAUAACACGCUGAAAUUAAAUAGGCAGACUAACAAAAAGAAAAGGGGGAUCGAAGUACAAAGAAAAACAUUCAAAUACACGCCUAACUACGCCAAACUACUCUUCUCGCGUUUUUGUCAUACAUCGCUCUGAACCAUGCUAAGUAAAUGCAAACGAACGCGUGUUCGUGCCACCGACAUUACUCAUUCUGACAACUUUAUAUCUCUAACUCAAUAUCUUUCGUGAAUGAGCCACGAAUUUUCUCAAAAUUUCGUGGCAACAAUUUUAAUGUAUUACACAGAUGAAUUCUGUGUACAUGAUACGUCGAAAGUAAUACGGUAAGCAGUACAGGUGAUGAAAUUGCUCAAGAGUAAAUCAAAUGUUUCGAAAGUCUAAACAAGUUAUUUGAGACAUUUUGGAGAAGACAAGAGUUAAUUGUUAUUAAGUAAAAACUUCGUCAAAGAGUAACUUAAUCCAAUAGGAACGUCGAUCAACAGCGAUCAUCGUAGAUAAACGCGUUAGUUGCGUAGACUCGCGGUCAGAAUGACUAACCUCGGUUAGGUCAUGUUAGUCACCUCUGUGUGAUCUCAGUGUGCGUUAUACUGUGCUCCUGUCUCUCGACGAUUCGACGAUUCACCAGCCUGACAUUAAUAAUUUCGGUCUGAUUAAUUUGGGUGCUGAAACUACGUGCUUCCUAGGGUGCAACCUCGAGUUAGAUAUCUUGUAACUGUCUUUUUCAUCAUUGAUUCCCCAUGAUUCCCAGGCCUCCUAUUACCGGGAAACGAGUUUUGCCAAUUGGCCGAGUUACGUCUUGCACUAGCCGUGUAAAAGAGAGGGGGAAAAGCAGAGUUCAUUUUACGAUCACCGGCUUCUUAUUGAAACGAAUAGAAAGAGAUACAUAGAUCAAGGGACAUAGUGAGAGAAAUAGAGGUAUUAAUCGGUUACGAGUCUCUCGGCAGAGAGCUCGAGGAGAGAAAGACACUUACAGACAGGAGUCAACCAGCUGAUUAUUUGACAUACCAGCUGAUUUUUCGUCUCUUGCGGCUCAGCAGUCAAUGAUGACGUCUCCUGGAAGCACACCAAACGAAUAAAACGUUAAAGCAACAUUUGAAUGUAGUGAUAGAUAGAUUCCAUAGAUUUCCAUAGAUUUUUGCAACUUUUUCAUUUCAUUUCGAACAAAUGAUUUUGUUUUUCUGUCCAUUUGAGAUAAUACAUAUUAAGACCAAAAGUUUGGGAUCAUUUUCUCAAUCGAAUCACCUGCUAAUUUAUACUAAUUUCAAAAACACUUUAAUUCGACAGGUCUUGUUACGAAAGGACUUGCUAAGGUGAUUUUCCUCAGAUUCUAGAAUUUUAUAUAUAACGCGUAAUAAUUUCAAACUUUUGGAUAAUAAUGCGACACAUUUUGAAAAAUUGACAUUGUUCUUAAAUCAGAUAAUUGUAAAUUUUCCAAGGGUAAUAAUAUAUAAUAUCCGUAAUAAUAAUAAUAAUCACAAUA